GAGAAAUUGAGUUUCAAGUUAGAGAAAGAGAACACUUACAGAUUAUUUAAGGGCAUAAAUUCCAAAACGCCCCACCCCAACCUCCUGAGAAGGCUUUCAAUAGGAUGGGAAGCUGAAAGCUGCUUUUCCCGACCAGCUAACCCACCACUCCCUGCAACAGGCAAACAGUAGGCAAGGUGGGCUUGCUGCCGGUGCCAUUAUGGCAUGUGAAGUCACCACUCUGGAACAUAAACCCUGGAAUAAGUCUGUGACAGCGGGAAACUUUAUAACUAAAUCCUUUCUCCCCACUGCUCAAGAGCAUGAAAGUUUUCUGCUGCCUUUGGAACUGUGUCUGCAAACAGCUCAAAAGAGACGGCCUGAGGGCUCGCCAUGGACAUCAAUGUCGGAAGAACACUGGGGUUGACCAUAGCUCGGUGGCACUGACAGCAGUGUCUGCAAAGCCAAACAUUCUUCAUUCUUUAAUCCAAAUUGCUUCUC
rnacentral:lncRNA from 1 species